GUAUAAGUUUACCGACGCUUUUUUAAGGCGAAGAUAUAAAAUGACAUUCUAUGGAAACAUGCAAAGGGUUUGUGAUAAGACGUAGGGGCCUUUUUUACCGGGCCCUUACAUUAGGUUCACAGGUGUGUGUGGAUUAAAGGCUCAGGUGUGCACAUGCCCCAAAAGGCCAGCUACAACCCUCACCAGUAAUUUUCAAUAAUGAUCCUUCCGCAGGUUCACCUACGGAAA
rnacentral:misc_RNA from 1 species